UGAGGGCGGCCCCGCCCGCCCCGCUCCCGGCCGCGGGGCAGCGCCGAUCCGCACCCGCCUGCGGUUUAUCGCCCCCGGCAGUGGCCGGCAGGGGCCCGCUCCUCCGUGGAGCGCAGCUGUAGGCGGGGAGGAGCCGCUGUCCCGAAAGGAGCGCCUGGCACCAUGGCAAGGGGUCAACAAUGGAAAGAGACUCCCCUCUGAUACAGCUGCCUUUGAAUUACCUUCUACAAGGAAAAUAUAAAAGAUAUGGAAAGGAGAUUAGCCUAAAAAGAGACCCAUAUAAUUUGAAGUUGACAAAGACAGUGAUCAACAAACCAGUGGAAUUAUAGAUGAAGAACUGUUCUGUGGUGUUUAAAAUGUGUCUUUGCAUUUCCUGCAUAACUGGAUCCUAGCUCAUUAAGGAGAAUGCCUUCAAAUUAGUGACUUCAAAUGGAAUUCAAGAGAGAGUUAAUUCUAUUUGAGGGAGAUGGUUGUAAUCUGUUAAGAGUCAGUUUUUCAGCAGAAAAAGACCACAGAAUGUGGCUUGGAGAUGUGUUGAAUAGGCUUUCUUCAAGGUUCAUCAUGUCAGGGUAAUGCAAGAUAAGAAUUUUUACUUACUGGAGGACCAGGUGGACCAGAAGGAAGCCUGGAAUAUACACUCCUUGCUUGCAUGGAACUUGAAUGGAAACACAAAUAUGUUGUACUCACUGCAUCACCCUU